CCUACGGGAGGCAGCAGUGGGGAAUAUUGGACAAUGGGGGAAACCCUGAUCCAGCGACGCCGCGUGAGUGAAGAAGUAUUUCGGUACGUAAAGCUCUAUCAGCAGGAAAGAAAAUGACGGUACCUGACUAAGAAGCCCCGGCUAACUACGUGCCAGCAGCCGCGGUAAUACGUAGGGGGCAAGCGUAAUCCGGAUUUACAGGGUGUAAAGGGAGCGUAGACGGCAGCGCAAGUCUGGAGUGAAAUGCCGGGGCCCAAGCCCGGAACUGCUCUGGAAACUGUGAGGCUGGAGUGCAGGAGGGGUAAGCGGAAUUCCUGGUGUAGCGGUGAAAUGCGUAGAUAUCAGGAGGAACACCGGCGGCGAAGGCGGGUUACUGGACUGUAACUGACGUUGAGGCUCGAAGGCGUGGGGAGCGAACAGGAUUAGAUACCCCUGUAGUC
rnacentral:rRNA from 1 species